rnacentral:rRNA from 1 species
CUCAUAGCGUAUAUUAAAGUUGUUGCGGUUAAAAAGCUCGUAGUUGGAUUUCCGUUCGAGUUCGUACCUCCCCUUGGGGGUUGGUGUCGAGCCUCGAGCCUUUCUGGGUGUAUACGUGCGUACUUCAUUGUAUGACGUAUUCAACCCGGACUUUUACUUUGAGGAAAUUAGAGUGUUUCAGGCAGGCAAACGCCUUGAAUACAUUAGCAUGGAAUAAUAAGAUAAGACUUUGGUCUUGUUUGUUGGUUCAUAGACCGAAGUAAUGAUUAAUAGGGAUAGUUGGGGGCAUUCGUAUUUAACUGUCAGAGGUGAAAUUCUUGGAUUUGUUAAAGACGAACUACUGCGAAAG